AACGAACGCUGGCGGCAUGCCUAACACAUGCAAGUCGAACGAGACCUUCGGGUCUAGUGGCGCACGGGUGCGUAACGCGUGGGAACCUGCCCUUAGGUUCGGAAUAACUCCCCGAAAGGGGUGCUAAUACCGGAUAAUGUCUUCGGACCAAAGAUUUAUCGCCAUUGGAUGGGCCCGCGUUGGAUUAGCGAGUUGGUAGGGGAAAAGCCUACCAAGGCGACGAUCCAUAGCUGGUCUGAGAGGAGGAUCAGCCACACUGGGACUGAGACACGGCCCAGACUCCUACGGGAGGGAGCAGUGGGGAAUAGUGGACGAGGGGCGAAAGUCUGAUCCAGCAAUGCCGGGGGAGUGAUGAAGGCCGUAGGGAUGUAAAGCUCGUUUACCCGGGAUGAUAAUGACAGUACCGGGAGAAUAAGCUCCGGCUAACUCCGUG
rnacentral:rRNA from 1 species